rnacentral:rRNA from 1 species
UGGGGAAUAUUGCGCAAUGGGGGAAACCCUGACGCAGCGACGCCGCGUGAGCGAAGAAGGCCUUAGGGUUGUAAAGCUCUGUUUUAGGGGACGAAUGUUCAUAGGAGUAAUAUGCCUGUGAAAUGACGGUACCCUAAGAGGAAGCCCCGGCUAACUACGUGCCAGCAGCCGCGGUAAGACGUAGGGGGCGAGCGUUGUCCGGAAUUACUGGGCGUAAAGAGCACGUAGGCGGGAACCUAAGUCAGGUGUGAAAGACCGUGGCUCAACCACGGGGUGGCAUUUGAAACUGGGUUUCUUGAGGGCAGGAGAGGAAAGCAGAAUUCCUGGUGUAGCGGUGAAAUGCGUAGAAAUCAGGAGGAAUACCAGUGGCGAAGGCGGCUUUCUGGACUGACCCUGACGCUGAGGUGCGAAAGCGUGGGUAGCAAACAG